CUGGAGAAACGGGAGAAAUGACAGGGGCUAUGGACUUGUUGAUACCAGACACAGAUGAGAAAUCUCCAACUUUUAGCUGGACACGUCUGCUCAGAGAACAUCUGCCAGCCUCCCUUGUAACUGGGAAAUGGGCACAAUGACUGGAGUUCAAACAGGAUCCUUGGACCGUAAAGAUGAACUAUUUGUGGAGAAUUGCAGAGCAACAAAAUAGGAAGAGGCUGAGUUCUUGACACACACAGCAUUCCAUCCCUGGACAACCUACAUCUGGACUUCUUUCAGAUAAUAAAGA